GUUUGGAGUUUGUUAUUGUCUGGACACAACGGAACGAAGCGUUUUUUAAGAAACAUCUUUCGAAUACAACACAGUCUGCAAUCAACAUGAGCCGCGCUGUGGUUAUACUGAUGAUGCUUGUGGUAUUGUCCGUACUGUGUGAGGAUAUUAUUGAUGGAGCGAGAGUACACCACCGCGCCAUACAUGCACCCAGCACUGGAGGCAUAGAUUGGUUCAAGAGAAAUGGUGCGCGAAAGAUUGACUACAGACGGGCUAGUGGUAGAACACCGGGAAAUCCAUACAAGCAUUAGUUUACUAUAGUUGUAAUCUAAAUUAUGUAUUAGAAACUAAUAAAUAAAUGAUUAUGAGUUGCUCUUUAUCUUUAA